rnacentral:rRNA from 1 species
UAGGGAAUCUUCCGCAAUGGGCGAAAGCCUGACGGAGCAACGCCGCGUGAGUGAUGAAGGUCUUCGGAUCGUAAAACUCUGUUAUUAGGGAAGAACAAAUGUGUAAGUAACUAUGCACGUCUUGACGGUACCUAAUCAGAAAGCCACGGCUAACUACGUGCCAGCAGCCGCGGUAAUACGUAGGUGGCAAGCGUUAUCCGGAAUUAUUGGGCGUAAAGCGCGCGUAGGCGGUUUUUUAAGUCUGAUGUGAAAGCCCACGGCUCAACCGUGGAGGGUCAUUGGAAACUGGAAAACUUGAGUGCAGAAGAGGAAAGUGGAAUUCCAUGUGUAGCGGUGAAAUGCGCAGAGAUAUGGAGGAACACCAGUGGCGAAGGCGACUUUCUGGUGUGUAACUGACGCUGAUGUGCGAAAGCGUGGGGAUCAAACAGG